UCAAACUUGGUCAUUUAGAGGAAGUAAAAGUCGUAACAAGGUUUCCGUAGGUGAACCUGCGGAAGGAUCAUUACCGAGAUCGUGCCCUCGCGGGUAGACCUCCCACCCUUGAAUAUCACACCUUCGUUGCUUUGGCGGGCCGCCUCGGCCACCGGCUUCGGCUGGCGAGUGCCCGCCAGAGGACCCUAAACUCUGAAUCAUGUGUCGUCUGAGUACUAUACAAUAGUUAAAACUUUCAACAACGGAUCUCUUGGUUCUGGCAUCGAUGAAGAACGCAGC
rnacentral:misc_RNA from 1 species